rnacentral:lncRNA from 1 species
UUUUGGAUAGAUUACCGACAGUAUAGCAGCUAGGGGUGUAAAUAUUCCAAAUCCAGAGGUAUCGUGUCCCUUUUGUAAGCAAGUUAUGGAAGACAUCAAUCAUUUGUUCCUUCUAUAUUCAUUUGCUCAUUUAGUAUGGAAGGAAUUGUUCAAAUGGCUAAGGAUUGAAGUAGUUUUUCCUUAGACAAUCUCACAGUUAUAUGAUCAUAUGUUUCACCUAAUUCGGGUGAGGAACAAGAAACACAGGCUCCUCUUUUGGCACGCAGCAUGUUAGAGCCUUUGGAGUUUCA